rnacentral:rRNA from 1 species
AACGAACGCUGGCGGCAGGCUUAACACAUGCAAGUCGAGCGCCCCGCAAGGGGAGCGGCGGACGGGUGAGUAACGCGUGGGAACCUACCUAGAGGUGCGGAAUAACUCAGGGAAACUUGAGCUAAUACCGCAUGAGCCCGAGAGGGGAAAGAUUUAUCGCCUUUGGAUGGGCCCGCGUCAGAUUAGCUAGUUGGUGAGGUAACAGCUCACCAAGGCGACGAUCUGUAGCUGGUCUGAGAGGAUGAUCAGCCACAUUGGGACUGAGACACGGCCCAAACUCCUACGGGAGGCAGCAGUGGGGAAUAUUGGACAAUGGGCGCAAGCCUGAUCCAGCCAUGCCGCGUGAGUGAUGACGGUCUUAGGGUUGUAAAGCUCUUUCGACGGGGACGAUAAUGACGGUACCCGUAGAAGAAGCACCGGCUAACUUCGUGCCAGCCGCCGCCGUAACAC